AGUAGUUUGAUCCUGGACUCAGAACGAACGCUGGCGGCAUGCCUAACACAUGCAAGUCGAACGAAGCCUUCGGGCUUAGUGGCGCACGGGUGCGUAACGCGUGGGAAUCUGCCCUUGGGUUCGGAAUAACAGUUAGAAAUGACUGCUAAUACCGGAUGAUGUCUUCGGACCAAAGAUUUAUCGCCCAAGGAUGAGCCCGCGUAGGAUUAGGUAGUUGGUGGGGGUAAUGGCCCACCAAGCCGACGAUCCUUAGCUGGUCUGAGAGGAUGAUCAGCCACACUGGGACUGAGACACGGCCCAGACUCCUACGGGAGGCAGCAGUGGGGAAUAUUGGACAAUGGGCGAAAGCCUGAUCCAGCAAUGCCGCGUGAGUGAUGAAGGCCUUAGGGUUGUAAAGCUCUUUUACCAGGGAUGAUAAUGACAGUACCUGGAGAAUAAGCUCCGGCUAACUCCGUG
rnacentral:rRNA from 1 species